rnacentral:rRNA from 1 species
GUGAACGCUGGCGGUAGGCCUAACACAUGCAAGUCGAACGGCAGCACAGAGGAGCUUGCUCCUUGGGUGGCGAGUGGCGGACGGGUGAGGAAUACAUCGGAAUCUACCCUGUCGUGGGGGAUAACGUAGGGAAACUUACGCUAAUACCGCAUACGACCUUCGGGUGAAAGAGGGGGCUCGCAAGACCUCUCGCGAUUGGAUGAGCCGAUGUCGGAUUAGCUAGUUGGCGGGGUAAAAGCCCACCAAGGCGACGAUCCGUAGCUGGUCUGAGAGGAUGGUCAGCCACACUGGAACUGAGACACGGUCCAGACUCCUACGAGAGGGAGCAGUGGGGAAUAUUGGACAAUGGGCGCAAGCCUGAUCCAGCCAUACCGCGUGGGUGAAGAAGGCCUUCGGGUUGUAAAGCCCUUUUGUUGGGAAAGAAAAGCGACCGGCUAAUACCCGGUUGUUCUGACGGUACCCAAAGAGUAAGCACCGGCUAACUUCGUGCCAGCCGCCGCGGUAACAC